rnacentral:rRNA from 1 species
CCUACGGGGGGCAGCAGUGGGGAAUAUUGGGCAAUGGAGGAAACUCUGACCCAGCAACGCCGCGUGAAUGAUGAAGGUCUUCGGAUUGUAAAGUUCUUUUCUAAGGGAAGAAGAAAGUGACGGUACCUUAGGAAUAAGCCUCGGCUAACUACGUGCCAGCAGCCGCGGAAAUACGUGGCGGCCAGCGCUAUCCGGAAUGACUGGGCGGAAAGGGUGCGUAGGGGGUGUGAUAAGUUGGUAGCGAAACUCCGAGGCUCAACCUCGGCACUACUGCCAAAACUGUCGGACUUGAGUGCAGGAGAGGCAACUGGAAUUGCUAGGGUAGCGGUGGAAUGCGUAGAUAUUAGGAGGAACACCAGUGGCGAAGGCGAGUUGCUGGACUGUAACUGACACUGAGGCACGAAAGCGUGGGGAGCAAACAGGAUUAGAUACCCGUGUAGUC